CACGUAGGCGGAUAUUUAAGUCAGGGGUGAAAUCCCAGAGCUCAACUCUGGAACUGCCUUUGAUACUGGGUAUCUUGAGUAUGAGAGAGGUGUGUGGAACUCCGAGUGUAGAGGUGAAAUUCGUAGAUAUUCGGAAGAACACCAGUGGCGAAGGCGGCUUACUGGUCCAUUACUGACGCUGAGGUGCGAAAGCGUGGGGAGCAAACA
rnacentral:rRNA from 1 species